AUUCUCUUCCCUUCAAAACUACACACACAAUCCUAGAGAGAAUAACAUUCAUCCCCUUUAUACCCUCUUUCACGGUAUCCCCACACAUACCACACAACACACUCAUCAGAAAAUCAAGAAGAAGAACAACAAAAUUCCUUUAGGGGAUGACGAAACAACCUGCGAAACAAGUCUGCGACUACCCACCACACUUGGCCACUUGUCAGUUUGAAACCAACCGUCGUACGUUAUAGAACAGAACCCGUUACAUGAGUGACUUUUGUUUUGGUAGAAUUUAUAUAAAAUGGGUAACAUAAAAAUACGCUUCGUCGAAUGAUGGUGAUGGGAAUAAAUCGAAUUAAGUUAUAAAAAAAUAAAAUAAAAUAGAAUUACGGUUCCCGAGACACACGGAUGAGUGAUUGUGUAUUUGUGUUGUUUUAUUUGCAACUUGGCCUUUAACCUGAAUUAUUCGGGAAGAUAAAAAAAAAAUCAAUUUUUAAAACAGUGAAAUACGAAAGAAAAAUAUACCAACAAGGAAAAGGCAGUUGCGAAUAUCCUUGGAGAUAAAAGUGUUGGUGAAAGAAAGGAAGAGUGUUCAAACGGUGGCCUUUAGCUUUUUUUUCUUCUGUUGCUUUUGGUGCGCCGUUAGGUUGCUUAAAGUUAAUUCAAGCGGGAAAAUUGGUGAAACAGUUUAAAGGAUACAAAAAAAAAUAGAUAUUAAAUUUUUUGUCAGUGAAGCAAACGGAUGUAUGAGAAACAGGAUAUCCCAUUGUAGCCAAUUACGAUGACCGCAACUGAAUGACCGUAACGUAGUUGAACCAUACACAACCAACGUAAAGCAAAGCAAAGAGGAAAAAAAAGAUAGAAAUUUAUACGACAUUAUAUACGACAACAAGGCUGCUCUCACCCGCAAGGCAAUAAGGACAUUCACUAAAGAGCCAAAUGCGAAAAUAAACCACAGCUAGAGAACAACUACAACAAGAACGAAAGAAAAAAAAGAAAGUUAAAUUACAUCAAAAAAUAAAAAAAAAAAACAUAAAACGAAACAGGAUUUGAAAGAAGGGUAUCCUAAUGAUAUAUAGUAGGCUAGGGAUUAACAAGAGCUUACACAAGACCAACAGCACCACAGCAACGCAUUACGACAACGACGACGACUACAACAACUACUAUCAACUACAUCACUGCCGAGGCCGACCAUCAUCAACACCGGCAACAAAAAGAAGAAGAAAAACGCUUUCUAAAAAAUAAAUAACCUUCCUACCUAACAUCAUACUCCUUCAGCACUAAAAGCAAAGGACUAGAAUCAAAAAAAAAGAAAAGAAAAACGGAAGCGAUAAUCAAGAUUCAGGAUAUAUUUGAGGAGAAAAAAGAAAGAAAGAGAAAGAGUAAAAAUCCCGAAUCCGAUUAGGAAAGUACAAUUUUUCUUCGUUUUUCUUCGAUUUACCUCUCUUCUCAUCUGCUUCUUCUUCCUUUUCUUCGUCAAUCGGGGUAAAAUAUUUUUCUAUUGGUUUUAUCCUUCCUGCACAGUUUAACGUUUGUUUGUGGUCUUCUCAAUUUUCCAUAAGGAUAUACACAGGCGAGCUUUAGUAGUUCCACUUUUAUUUUUACUUCUUUAUUGUCAAUAGCCAUUCUCAACCCACUCGUCCUUUGGAAAUACGUAUAUACAAACAUAUUUCUCAUCUAAAAGAAGAACGACUACGACUAAAAACUGAAGGACUCUAGCUAUACCACAUCAGAAGAAGGAACGCAAUUUAAAGAGAAAUAAGGAUAUCGGUUGUUUAAGAUCGUGACUAUUAAUAUUUAUGAGGUGCGCAGCAAAGCAAUCUCUCUCAAUAAUAUCAGGUUAUUCUAGUGCAACAUACUCUUCUCCUACUUCUCCUCCCACUCUCACCACCCCAACAAGGACCCUUAUACUCUUCUACCAUUGCUGUUAAAAAAAAAUACUAUAACAAAAAAAUAUCCUUCCCUACACCAACAAACAAAAAUUGAAAAACGAAAAAGAAAAAUUAACUCCAUGCAGUGGAAUAAAUUCACAAGGAUCCCCUACCACAGCAACAGCAACAGAAGUAGCAGCAGCCAUAGUUGUGUACCAUCAACAUCACUAGCAGCAGCAGCAGUAUCCUUUUCUGUCCUUUUUCCAUGAUAGUGUGUUGAAGUGCCAUUUGCCAUAUAGAAAAAAGUGUAAUUAAAAAAUAUAAGAGAAAAUAAAAAUAAAAUAAAAAGAGUGCAAUACAGUGCGGUGUUAGUAAUGCAAAGCAUUAGUAGCAGGUAAUAUCAUUUUAGAGAAAUAAAUUUCAAAGAUAAAUAUAAAAAAGUUAAAAAAUAGAAAAAAAAAUAAAAUAAAUCCUGUGUUGGUUGAUGGUUGAAAAGAAAUAAAUAAAAGUAUCUAGAGUGCAAUAUUAUCUAGCGAACAACCAAAACCAACAACAGCAAAAUAACGUCGGCCGCGACGCGCUACAACGACGAAGACGAGGACGACGCGACUACGGUAAAGUGUUAAUGUGUUUAAGUAACAUAUGGAAGAGUUUACAGAAUUCACACGGUGAAUUAUAGCACUUAAGGUUGCACUACGCAUUAUUCCACGCGUUAUAACACACCACAUACACUUUUACACACACAACACAUACAUCAUACAUAUAUUUAUACAUCUAUACAUCACCUUAUAACCACCACCCCCUCAAAAACGAAGAUCCAAUAUAGUAUAAGCCAAAAACAAACCCCAAACCAUCAGCCAUCAUCAUUCACCGCUCCACGGUGCAUUUUCAAAGGGAUACACGAGGAUAUCAGCUACUACACGAAGAAGUGUGGCAGUGACAGCAGGCGGUGGAAAACAUUUUAAACAUCACAAAAUGUUGUUACAAGGAUUUUUAAUCGGAUUUACUUUGUUAAUUCAUGGAUUUGGUGGAGGAGCACAUGCUGAGGGUGAACAAAUCAUUUCGGAGCAUUUGGGUAAAACAGCUGAAUUGCCAUGUCCUGUGAACACGGAAAGUUGCGGUGCACUGCAUUCGAUCAACUGGUUCAAAGGUGAUACACGAAUCGCAGCUGUGCUGCUGGAUGAUAGCAAUAUAACUAGUGUCUCAGAAGGCUAUAAAGAUAGGUAAGUUGGUUUGAC